CCCUUAGAUGUUCUGGGCCGCACGCGCGCUACACUGAUGCAUUCAACGAGUCUAAAACCUGCUCUGAUAGGGGUGGGUAAUCUUUUGAAUGUGCAUCGUGAUUGGGAUAGAUGAUUGCAAUUUUUCAUCUUCAACGAGGAAUGCCUAGUAAACGCAAGUCAUCAGCUUGCAUUGAUUACGUCCCUGCCCUUUGUACACACCACCCGUCGCUCCUACCGAUUGAAUGAUCCGAUGAAUAUCAUGGAUUGAGGAUGCAAGUAGGUUCGCCUAUCUUCAUCUUCGAGAAGUGAAGUAAAUCUUAUCAUUUAGAGGAAGGAGAAGUCGUAACA
rnacentral:rRNA from 1 species